GAUGAACGCUGGCGGCGUGCCUAAUGCAUGCAAGUCGAGCGAACAGACCAUGAUCUUGCUCCUCUGACGUUACCAGCGGACGGGUGACUAACACGUGGACAACCUACCUAUAAGACUUGGAUAACUUCGGGAAACCGGAGCUAAUACCGGAUAAUAUAUUGAACCGCAUUGUUGGAUAGUUAAAGACGGUUUUGCUGUCACUUCUAGAUGUAUCCGCGUCGCAGUAGCUAGUUGGUAUGGUAACGCCUUACCAAGGAAACGGUGCGUAGCCGACGUCAGAGGGUGGUCGGCCAGAGUGGGACUGAGACCAGGUUCAGACUGCUACGGGAGGCAGAAGCAGGGAGUCGGCCGCAAUGGGCGAAAGUGUGACGGAGCAACGCGGCGGGAGCGGUGACGGUGCGCGGAUCGUGACGCUCUGUUAUUAGGGAAGAACAAAUGUGUAAGUAAAUAUGCACGUCGUGACGGUAGUUAAUCAGAAAGCCACGGCUAACUACGUG
rnacentral:rRNA from 1 species